rnacentral:misc_RNA from 1 species
UAGCUCUUUAACAAUUUGGAAAGCUGACAAAACAAACUUUUAAGUUUGUUUGUAAAGUUCUCAAUGUUUGUCUUUACGACAAACACCAAUACAACACAUUCAAGUGUUCUUGGAAUUUGAGUCCGGCAAAAUCGAGUCUGCAUCAUGUAUAAAAAUUGCAGACAACUUUGGUGACUUGUUCAUCAACUCGAAACUCCUUCGGGUUGUAU